GAAGAAGAAGAAUCUCUACUGGUAAAAAUACGAGAACGAAACAGAAAAAUGUAUUUAAAGGACGAAAGAUUUUGAAGACAUUUUUGGCUUUUUGUUUUUUAGGGACCGGAUGUGCUGCCUAAUCUACGCAAUUUUUUUUUUUUUUUCAACUUUAACUACAAUUUUUGAAACUUCAGGUCUGCAUGACAUGAAAUGAACAAAGCAAUUCUCCUCAAUAGAGGUCUGCUAGUAUCAAUGUGUAUUCUCAAUUGUAACUUCGAAUUUAACUGAAAUCGGUAAAUAGCAGUCAAAUUUUCAAACACCAUCUUGCAUUUGUGUUUUCAGAAUUUUAUUUUUUACGGAAUAUGCGUUUGAUUUCUUGCAGUUAAUUCUCUCUUUGAAAAGGAAAAAGAAUGUGGGAAAGUGAUCAUUGUUGUAUUCUUUGUCUUAGCAGUAGAUGUGCAAGUGGAGAAGAGAUUCUGCACCAUGAUAAUUUAAUGCAAAUUAUUUUUUCCCAAAAAUCGGACGAGAAAGAUUAUUUUUUUCUUGUUUGAUGAUGUUUUUUUCUUUUGCCUGUAGGAGGAAAUGUUGAUAAUAUCGUAAUAGCUUUAGAAAAUUGGAAGCGCCAUCUGCUAGCAGAAAAUGCUGCCCUAAGGAAUUGUAUAGUGACUCUUCAAGCUGAACUGUGUGGUUCCAGGCUUGCAGCUCGCUAUUUGGACAAAGAGCUCGCUGGAAGAAUUCAACAACUCCAACUCCUUGGUCGAUCUGAUAUGAAUACAGAAUGCAGAGAUAAAUUAUGGAGACAGUUAGAGGCAGAAAUCUUACUGCAGCGACAUAAAACUGUACAAAGGGCUGUUCGUCAACAAACUGUAAAUACAGCGCAGCCACCAACAAGCAUCACGAAUGUGGUCCGGACAGUCAUGCUUAAACGAGAGGCAUUCACUGAACUUGGUAUUUCAAUUACUGGAGGCAAAGAGCACGGCGUUCCAAUCUUAUAUCAGAGCUUGAGCCAAAAAUCGCCCAAGGCCUGUAUGUCGGAGAUGCAAUUAUUAGUGUGAACGGAACGAGCCUGGCUCAAAUGACUCACCAGCAAGCAGUUGAUUUACUAAACAAGCAAGUUGGCACGAUUAAGCUCUGUGUUCAGUAUCUCAGCAGUUCUGACUGUGACGAUGACUAUAAUGAGCCCACGAAUGACAGCGAAUUGAAGCGUUUCAGGUACAUUGAUUUUCAGUAGGGUUCCGUUGAAAGUCAUUGAAUCUGGUAUUUGGUAAAUAAACUCUUAAAUCUAAAUAAAACAGAAGCACAGUCACAAAAUUUUUGAUAAUGACAGUUAACUGAAAGUGAGAAGAUGUUUGAUGCCGUAACCAGUUGUAGAAUCAUAUGCAUAAGAUCAUGCCUCUAAUUGACAUGAAAAUACCAACUCUGACCACGUAAAUGUAAUUCAAUUUGAACUACAUUAACAGUUAGUUAAAAUAUUUUAUUGAGACAGAUUUUCCAUGUGUUGUUUGUUUUCCAUAACUAAAAAGUUAACGUUCAAAAUUAAUCACAUUGUAAAAUUGCUCUUUUUCUUUUUAUCCAAUGAACCUCAACGAUUUUCUUUACUAAAUGGGGAGAGAAGGGUAAAAACCAUUUAUUGUCAACCAAUCAGCUAUAAAUUAUGAAAUUUUUAACUUCCAAAGAUCUGAAGUGAUUUUCUGGUUUUGAAUGACAGGUAUGGUUACUUCAGUGAAGAAGAUGAGGAAAAAUUGAAGCAUAUGUCCGCAGGAUCACAUCCACCACGCCAACUGCACCAAGAACUCCUGAACAGACAGAAGGUAAGCAGUUAAUUUUUUCUUAUUAUGCAUUUUAAGCAACAAAAUCCAAGGAAAAACUAGUUCUCCUGUGGAUAAUUACUUUGAAGAUUGAAUGAGUUUUAAGAAACCAGGUGAACAUCAGCAGCAAUGAUUUCAGAACUUUACUGAUGCACUGCCUGAUGCUGCUCUCUCUUUUCUUCUAUCGUGCUAGUUAAGAACCCUGGAUGUAAAACUAAUGAUAGCUCUAAGUUCUGGCGGUUGAGUUUUUUUUUAUAAAAAAAAAAUAUUUUCCAAGUUUUUAAAUUGCACAUAUUUAGUAUUUUAAUAUUCUGUGGGGUAUGAGAAGCAAUAAUUUCUCCAUCAGCAGAGUGAAAAAAGCACAAAAUCAGGGCCGUCUAUUUUUUACUGACAUAAUUCCUUUCAAAAAUCCAUUUCUGCUAGGAGUUUGAUUUCAAGGAAAGCCUAAAUACUCUCUCACCCUUAAGGAGUUCCUGGAAAGUAUUUCUGAUUCGAACCUUUUCUCUAUCAAGGUGUAAAGACUGCAUUUAAUGAUUUCUCUCCGUUAACUCAGUGUUUCAGAAAACAAUCCAGCAGAUGAAGCUGUCAUUGAACAAUCAGUAAACCGUGAAGACAGUAGCAAUUCUUCAAAAAUUCACACACCACUGAUUAUUAUGGAGUAACAACUCUUCAAAAAAUAUUUCAAAGCCUCUCUCCGAGAGUACAAAUAGGUGAAACAUUGAACAAAUCUACUAAACCAUCAGAAAUCACUCAAAGUCCUAAAGAGUCUAGUAUAUCGAGCGAAGUUAGUUCUGAUAAGCCAAGGAACCAAAGUUCUGAAUCAAAAGAUCCCUUGAAACUGGAAACUACAAAAGUUGAAAUAGAUCUAUCAUCAAACAACACAUCAGUCAAGUCAGAAAAUUGGAUCCAAAACUCCAGCGAUAGCCCCAUUCUCACAUCCAGCUCAAUGGACUGUAUCAGCUCCGACUCGGACAACUCCAUCGAUAAGAGACUAGCCGCUAAGCAAAUAUUUUCUAAAUCUUUCCGAGCCAAGCACAACAGUUUUGUGGAUGAAAGGAGUAAGGUCAGGCAUGAAGGCCACAACUACUUUUCCAAAGUUAAUGCU
rnacentral:lncRNA from 1 species